rnacentral:rRNA from 1 species
AGAGUUUGAUCAUGGCUCAGAAUGAACGUUGGCGGCGUGGAUUAGGCAUGCAAGUCGCGCGGGUGUAGCAAUACAUCAGCGGCGUAAGGGACAGGAAUACGUAGACAACCUACCCUCGGGACCUGAAUAGCUGCGGGAAACUGCAGGUAAUGCGGGAUAACGUCUCCGGACCAAAGGUGUGAGUCCGCCGGAGGAUGGGUCUGCGUCCUAUUAGCUAGUUGGUGAGGUAAUGGCUCACCAAGGCAAUGAUGGGUAGCAGGUGUGAGAGCACGACCUGCGUCACUGGGACUGAGACACUGCCCAGACACCUACGGGUGGCUGCAGUCGAGGAUUUUCGUCAAUGGGCGCAAGCCUGAACGAGCGACGCCGCGUGCGGGAUGAAGGCCUUCGGGUUGUAAACCGCUGUCAGUGGGGAGGAAAUGUAUGUGGGUACUCCCACAUAUUUGACUAAUCCGCAGAGGAAGUGUGGGCUAAGCUCGUGCCAGCAGCCGCGGUAAGACGAGCCACACAAACGUUAUUCGGAAUCACUGGGCUUAAAGGGUGCGUAGGCUGUGCAGAAAGUUGGGUGUGAAAUCCGACAGCUCAACUGUCGAAGUGCACUCAAUACUACUGUGCUAGAGGAAGACAGAGGUAAGCGGAACUGAGGGUGGAGCGGUGAAAUGCGUUGAUAUCCUCAGGAACACCGGUGGCGAAGGCGGCUUACUGGGUCUUUUCUGACGCUGAGGCACGAAAGCUAGGGGAGCGAACGGGAUUAGAUACCCCGGUAGUCCUAGCCGUAAACAAUGAGCACUGGAUUGAAGGGUCCUCCAUAGCCUUUCAGUCGUAGCGAAAGUGUUAAGUGCUCCGCCUGGGGAGUAUGGUCGCAAGGCUGAAACUCAAAGAAAUUGACGGGGGCUCACACAAGCGGUGGAGGAUGUGGCUUAAUUCGAGGCUACGCGAGGAACCUUAUCCUAGUCUUGACAUGCAUGGAUUAACCCUAUGAAGUAGGGGCCACGCCUCGGGUGGAACAGCACAGGUGCUGCAUGGCUGUCGUCAGCUCGUGUCGUGAGAUGGCCCGGUAAGUCGCUUAACGAGCGAAACCCUUGUCACUAGUUGCCAGCGCGUCAUGGCGGGGACUCUAGUGAGACUGCCGGUGUUAAACCGGAGGAAGGUGGGGAUGACGUCAAGUCCUCAUGGCCCUUAUGACUAGGGCUGCACACGUCCUACAAUGGCACGCACAAAGGGAUGCAAACUCGCGAGAGCCAGCAAAUCCCAAAAAACGUGCCCCAGUUCGGAUUGCAGGCUGCAACUCGCCUGCAUGAAGCCGGAAUCGCUAGUAAUCGCGGGUCAGCAUACCGCGGUGAAUGUGUUCCUGAGCCUUGUACACACCGCCCGUCAAGCCACGAAAGUGGGGGGCAUCCGAAGCCAGUGAGGUAACCGCAAGGAACCAGCUGUCUAAGAUGAACUCCGCGAUUGGGACUAAGUCGUAA